UUUCAGUCUCGUCUUUUUAAAAGCAGGUUUCGUUUUUUGCUUACAACAAAUAAUUUGAAGCUUUUACUAAACGAUCUCACUAAAAAAGGCUGUUGAAUGCAACGAAAUAAAUAAUGCCAAAAAUGUAAAUGAUUUUAAAGGUACACAUCCAGAUUCAAAAUGCCUAAAUGCUGUACACAGUAAAUUAUCAAUUAAUAAAAAACGUUGGAAUUUCACCCGAUUCAAUUUAUUUGAUGAUUCAACUUAUUUAGAAUAAUUUAUUUAAAAGAAAUAUAUAAUUUUAUUUUA